UCGCCUUCAAAGGUGUGUGAAGCGCGGGCCAAUCGGCGAGCGGGGGUCACGCGUGAUCAGCGGCUGCCCGGCAGCGUGAAGAGGGAGUCGUUCCUGCGUGUACAGAAAUCGGCAGCGUGUCCCAGCGCGGCUCUUGGAUGAGAACUGAACUGCUAAUAACUGAUUAGGAAAGAAGGUGUAGAUAAUUAAAGGAAGGAACAAAAGAAGUCGAGAAGUGUUCAUGACACCUAUGGGCAGCAGACACCAGACAGUCUACUCUACUUCCAGGCAGUAAAUCUCAAUGGAUUCAGGUUCCUUUUGAGAAGACAUAAAUAAGGUGAACUGAUAAUGUUACCUAUUUUGGUAAUGAAACAUCUGCAGGGAAAUAACCAAGCUCGGAGAGCACCAAGGACCCCACAUUCUAUAUAGGAAUUGAUGUUUUUACGAAGAAACUGUAAGGAAGCUUUUACUAAUCUAAUAUUUCUGAAUGUGUGAACCUAUUGCCAAUGUUUUGAGGAAAUAAACAAAUUGAAAAUAAAUCUUCCAGAUCUUGCUCAUAGAAAUCCAACUUUUCUUUCAAAUUAUAUCUAAAAGUUUGCUUUUUUAUUUUUUGAAACAGUAACUGUCUCUACUUGAAAGAAUAGAGUAUUUUUUCUGCUUCCUGCCCUACUGUUGUUUAAAACAAAUAUUGAGAAACAAAAAAAUAAAAGCCAACAUAUUAUAAAGCAAAAUAGCCAACUUCUGACAAAAUGCCUCUACGUUUUAGGUAUGUUCCAUAAGUAUUUCUAAGCACAUACAUCAUUUAAAAAAAAUUAAGCAAGGAUUCGCAUUUGGGGAAAAAUAACCAAUACUUUAUGGAGCAGCAGUAUCCAGUGUUGUUGAUACCUGUUGAUAGCCAUUUAAGUGAUGACAUGAAUGUCCUGUCUCAGUGUUUGGAGGCUAUGGAAACCUGGAUGGGGCACAACAGGCUUCAGCCCAAGCCACGCAAAACUGAGUGGCUUUGAGUAUUUUGUGGUAAUAAGGACUUUGCAUUGCGAGUCUUGGAUGAAUUAACACUGUCUCAGAGACAGACUCGGGGUACAAUCUGGGUGUCCUCCUGGACUAAUGGUACCCUGCUUAAAGAACAGAUAGCAGCUCUGGCUAAGAAAGCCUUUGGACACUUUCAAGAUCUGUGCAUGUUGUACCAGUUCUUGUACUGGGAGGUCCUGCUCAUUCUUACUUAUGCCCCUGUGACCUUCCGUCUGGACUACUACAAUGCUCUCUACACGGGACUGUCAUUGAAGAGCUUUAGAGACUUCAAGUGGUGCAGAAUACAAUAGCACAGGUAACAAAUAAUGCCAGUUGCAUUGUCUUCCACUCAUUUCACCCACUUAAAUCCUUACCUCCAACUGGAGAAGAAUGCAGUGAUACAAGUAGUUAAUAGUGCUGGUUACUGAUGCGUGUGUACUGUACCAUUGUUCCUUGAGCUGCAUAGGCUUCUAGGUGCAGUUAAAGGUGUUGGUUGUUAUCUGUAAAGCUCUUGACACCAGGUUAUUUAAAGGAUUUUCUCCCCCUGAUUGUUUCUACAUAUCGUAUCCCAGUCCAGCAGGUCUCAUCUGCUAAGAAAUGUAGGAUGGGGGUGGGCCCCACCAGAAGACAAGACUUUCUGCUAUAGUGCCUGCCUCUAGAAAAUUCUCCCUCCAGAGAUGGGGUAGCCCCAAUCCUCCUGGCCUUUUGCAAGGCCCUGAAGAAACAACUCUGUGCUUAGAUCUGGAGCCCUGAGUGUGUGAGAAAACCUGCUUCCUGACUAUGUGGCUAUUGUUCUUGGCUGCAUUAUAAUUUUUGUAUAUGUAUUUAUCAUUGUCUGCUGCCUAGACACAUAAUGGAAUAGAUUUUUUAGGCCUAGUACUCUUCAACAUAUUCAUCAAUGACUUGGACGAGUGGAUAGUUGGGGAACUUAUCAAAUUUGCAGAUGAUACCAAGCAGCAGGAAUAGCCAACAAAGAUCGGAAGAUACAGAAGGAUCUUGACAGACUUGAAUAUUGGGCGCUAUCUAACAAAAUGAAAUUCAAUGGUGAAAAAAGUAAGGCUCUACAUUUAGGCAAGAAAAACAAAAUGCACAGGUACAGUAUAUGUGGUACCUCGCUCAAUAGUGGUUACUGUGAGAGGGAUCUUGGAGUCCUAGUGGACAACUAUUUAAAUAUGAGCCAGCAGUGUACUGCAGCUGCCAAAAAAGCGAACACAGUUCUAGGCUGCAUAAACAGAGGGAUAGAAUCAAGAUCACAUGAAGUGUUAAAUAACACUUUAUAAUGCCUUGGUAAGGACACACUUGGAAUACUGCAUCCCAUUUUGGCUGCCACGAUGUAAAAAAGAUGUUGAGACUCUAGAAAGAGUGCAGAGAAGAGCAACAAAGAUGAUUAGGGGACUGGAGGCUAAAACAUAUGAAGAACGGUUGCAGGAACUGUGUAUGUCUAGUUUAAUGAAAAGGACUAGGAAGACAUGAUAGCAGUGUUCCAAUGUCUCAGGGCUGCCACAAAGAAGAGGGAGUCAAGCUAUUCUCCAAAGCACCUGAGGGUAGAGCAAGAAGCAAUGGGUGGAAACUAAUCAAGGAGAGAAGCAACUUAGAACUAAGGAUUUCCUGACAGAACAAUUAAUCAGUGGAACAACUUGCCUCCAGAAGUUGUGAAUGCUCAAACACUGGAAGUUUUUAAGAAGAGAUUAGAUAACCAUUUGUCUGAAGUGGUGUAGUUUUCUACCUAAGCAGGGGAUUCGACUAGAAGAUCUCCAAGAUCCCUUCCAACUCUGUUAUUCUAUUCUAUUCUAGAUGGCAUAUACAUUUUUAAAUAAGUAAACACUCCUUCAGCCAGUCCUACUUUUGAAAAAUGACCUGUGACAGGCUGGGUAAAAGCUGGAGCAGUUUUCAAACUAGCAAAAGCUGUACAGUUCAUAAUGCAAUUAUGUGCGUGCACAAAUAAGUUGCAGAGGCAGUCAAUCUACAACUAUAAUUGAGUUCAAAGUUGUGAUGGUUCAAUUUUAUGUCUUUUUUGCAGCAGUUGUUAAGAGAAUGCAGUAGUCGUAGAGUGAAUAUGGCAGUUUUUAAGUGAAUGCAUUGGUUACUGUGUGAACCCAUUUUAGCCAAUGAGCACAUUUUGUUGGAAAUAGUAAUAAUGCUGAUUCCCACAAAAAAAAUUGUAAAUUAGUCACAUAACCACAGGACACUGCAAAUACUGGUAGCUGUAAAUGCAUGCUGGUUGCCAAGCACCCAAAACAUGAUCACAUGACCAGGAAGGGACAGACUAAGACCUUGAACCUAGUCAUAAGUACUUUUUUGGGAGAGCACUGUAACUGACUGGUUGCUGAUGAGGAUUACCUGCACAAUCAGCAGGGCGAUCGUGUUCCUUUGCAUUGUUUAUGCUGGCUGGCAACAUGUCAGUUUUAGUUAAUACAAAUCAUAAGCUCUGCUGUCCUGUUAGGAAUCCCUAAUCAUAAGUUAUCCACUUUCUAAUGAGAACUAUUUGAUUAAUAUAAUUGGGUGAAUGUGUGGCUUAAUUCAAAGCCUUUUGAUGAGAUACCUUGGUUACUGUUCAAUGCUGUCUUUUGCACCUGUAUAUCAUACACUUUUAGUUAUUUCAUUCAGUAUUCUUUAACUUUUCCUUUAUCCCUUCUGGUUAGGUGUUUAUUAAAUACACUAAGCAAUAUUCUAUAUACUAAAUGUGUUUUUAUGUUUUAUGUUUAUUCUUUUGGUUUGAUUCUUUAGAAUAUACCUCUAUUCCUACUCCUCUAACACGCUAGGUGGAAAGGCUUUCAACCUAGAUGGAAAGCAAAACCUUCUGAUGACUUCAUCAGUGUUCAUAAACUAGAAUUUUCCUUUGUACUAUCAUAGUAUUUUUAAAUUGAUUAUGAACAUUACCUGACCAUUAAUGUGUGUUAACAGAGAAAUUGGGACUGAAAUUUAGGCUUAUCAGAACAAGCAGUGUUAUAUGUAUUUUGGAUAGUUGUUCGAGUGUAAAGCCAGCCCUUUGAGAAUUGAUGGGAGUUUAUUUACCCCCAGUGGUGAUUGUUAUUUCAAGGUACAUCUCUGCACUUCGUCUGCAACUAUUUGUUACAAAGUAACCUAAGUAUUAUGCUUGGAACAUAACAUCUUGACUUUUAAUAAAGUAUUCGUGAAUUAAAGUGGUUAUCUAAGCACGCACCAUCAGGAUCAACUUCUGAAACAACUGCCUGAGGUUUCUGGAUGGAUGACUUUAUUCCUUUGAAGCAUUUUUGUCACACUAAGAUGUUUUUUUAAAGUACCCUUUUUAUACACUCUAAACCCCAUGUUCUUGUAUGUUUAUGGAUAUACCAAUCCCUAGUAUACUUUGUCUAAGUCUCACAGUCACAAUCAUUUGAGACUGAGUGUAUUUGGCUCUUUGGAAUAGUGUGCGUGAAUGACUGAAAAAGAUAUCCCCUAACUUGUUCUUUGAUAUGGAUAGUAUAUACAAAGCAUUUUUUUCUCCCCUGGGUUCUCUCUCCCCAUUUCACUUUGAAAAUUCCAAAUCCAGAAAAGAAAAUGCAGCUUAGUUAACGUUCCCGUUUACCUUAUUGGCAUAUUCGUUCAAACUUACCACAAGUUUGCUGAAAUCAGUUAUCAGGAUUCGUAUCAAAUAGAGCCAAAAUUAAAUCAUAUUAUGACUUAGUAUGUUUAUAAGUCAGAACACAACCAAUCCUGGAUAAGUUGUAAUUUAAGUUUUAACUCCUUUGCACAUAACACAAGUUUUCAUCUAAAAGAUCCUUGUUUAUAUCAUUAAAUUUAAAACAAAUUUAGGUUAUAUGUUUUGCGUAUAGAUUACCUUCUUAAAAAUCUGGCUUUUUCAGUCAAAGGCAUCAAACAGAAGCAGCAAUGUAGUGCAAAAGCUAGGCAGUGAUUUUGCAGAUCUACUCCAGUCCCAUGAACCUAUGCUGGAAUUUCUUAUUCAGCCUCUUAAUAACCAUUGUUCAUGUCAAAGAAAGCUCACCAAUGUUGUGAUCCAUGCACUACUGGUAGAUAUAUAUACUUAUACAAAAUUAUUCUCCUCCCUCCGCAGGACCUCAUGCCAAAAUUCACUUAUUUUAACUAAUGAGGGAUGUUUAGAUUUGAACUAUUAAAUGAAACUAAGGCCAGCAUGUAAAAUAUAUAUUUGAGACCAAUGGCAAUUAAGCAAUUACCACAAUAGUCCAAGAGACACAUAGUUGCAAUAGUUUCCCUGUCAUAAUAAGCAGUGUUAAAUGCACUUUUUGCUGCAUCUCAACACUGAUUAUUUUCUAUUAUGGGUGACUAUAUGAAUGCAGAUAAGACAGC